rnacentral:rRNA from 1 species
ACCGAGCAACGCCGCGUGAGCGAUGAAGGCCUUCGGGUCGUAAAGCUCUGUUGUUAAGGAAGAACAAGUACGAGAGUAACUGCUCGUACCUUGACGGUACUUAACGAGAAAGCCACGGCUAACUACGUACCAGCAGCCGCGGUAAUACGUAGGUGGCGAGCGUUAUCCGGAAUUAUUGGGCGUAAAGCGCGCGCAGGCGGUUUCUUAAGUCUGAUGUGAAAGCCCACGGCUCAACCGUGGAGGGUCAUUGGAAACUGGGAAACUUGAGUGCAGAAGAGGAAAGCGGAAUUCCACGUGUAGCGGUGAAAUGCGUAGAGAUGUGGAGGAACACCAGUGGCGAAGGCGGCUUUCUGGUCUGUAACUGACGCUGAGGCGCGAAAGCGUGGGGAGCAAACAGGAUUAGAUACCCUGGUAGUCCACGCCGUAAACGAUGAGUGCUAAGUGUUAGAGGGUUUCCGCCCUUUAGUGCUGAAGUUAACGCAUUAAGCACUCCGCCUGGGGAGUACGGUCGCAAGACUG